rnacentral:lncRNA from 1 species
AUUUGCAUGAAAAUCACAGAACCUGAAGUGGUGGGUGAGAUUCAAAUGCCUUGGAGCUAAGAGCUUGGAUUCAGUACUUAAUAAUAACUUGCUGUGACAAUCUCAGAAAGAAUCCAAAUGUCAGAGCCAAAUUAACCAGCAAAAAAGACAGAUGGAAGUUUUUCGUCCUCGCUUAGCUCAUAGUCUUGAAACACAGCCCUCUGGUUU